rnacentral:piRNA from 1 species
UGCUUGCAAGAAUAGAGCGCAGAAAGGGA